rnacentral:misc_RNA from 1 species
AAGAAGAUUCGCAUCGACGUCAAGGAGACGCUUCGUGAUAACUUCGAUCCCGACAGUAUUAUACAGGGGUGAACUUUACACAGCUUCUUGUGUGGAGAAUUCAUUUAACUUCUUGCAGUUGUUUUAAAGUUUGACAUAGGAUUGUAAUUUUAAUACCAAGCGCGAGAAAAGUUUAAAAAAUAUAUACAAGUGUAUGUUUAAAUUCUGUUAUACACUUUGAGCUGGAUUUUUAUCAGACCAGGAAGUGAAUUUGAAAGAGGAAGUUGAUAUAUGUACUACGCGAAAGUUUUAUUUAUUACCACACGUUCAGAGCCAUGAAGUAACAUUUCCUCAACCCAAUCUUUUGCAGAAGAAGAGCAUCCAUAUAAAGGAGACAAGAUGAGUCGACCACCCCCCAGGAAAAUGCUUCCUCUCCCUGAUAAUGAUGCCCCCAAAACUUCUAGACAGGUUCCGCCUCUGCCCCAGGAUGAUAACCAGCCCGCCCCUCCCCUCCCUGGGAGGCGAGCCCCGCCCCCACUUCCUCCCACAGAAUCAGAAAAGGAUGACGAACCCGAAGAAGUGUAUGAUGAUGGAGAGAUUGGAGAAGAACCAAACGAUAUAUAUGAAGAUGAUGUUGAAGUUGGACCACCGGAAGACGUGUACGAUGAUGGUGAAAUAUUAGAGGAAGAAGAAUACCAUGAACCGGAAUUGGACAUGCCACCCCCUCUCCCUGCACCGCCAAAGAGAGAGCCUCCUCCUCCUCCGCAGUCCUCCAGACCGCCUAUCCGACCCCCUUCUCCCCAGGACGUCUAUGAGGUGGAACCAGACCCGGAACCUAGACGCCCCCAGCUUCCAAGUAGACCUACUGCGAACCCCCCUCAGGAAACCUAUGAAAUUGAAGAAGAGCAAGAAGAAUAUGACGAAUUUUCUGUGGAGCAGGAGACAUACGAUGAGUUUGAUCAAGGGCCGGCUGAGGUGUAUGAGGCGGUCAGUGAUGAGACCCCUCCCUCUAUACCAGGCAGACCGAUGCCCCCUCCACCUCCAGCAGUACCAGCGCCAUCAAAACAUACUCCACCAGUUCCAAGAAGCAAAAGUGCUGGUCCGAAACCUACCCCUAAACCACCUGGGGGUGGUGGGCCCAUGGGUAUAGAUCUCAGUGCUAUUACUAACAUCAAACUAAAGAAGGUAGGGGUACCUGCUGAUGAUCGCCCAAACCCACGGAAACCGAUAAAAUCUACAGUGAAGAGGGAGGCGUCAAAUCAGCAUUUGAAAAGUUCAAACAAAAAGACCUUCAAGCCUCUGGAUCACUUCCAUUUCCAAAAUCAGCUGCCGCUGUGGCUACGUCUCUUAAGAAACCUAUCACACCUGGAAAACCUAAUUUACACGUGCGACCAUUUAAGAAACAAGAGUCAGAAAAUACAGACACCAAACCUCCUUCACCGGUAUCUAAAGCACCGCCGUCUGUACCUAUAAAACCGCGGUCACCCUCGCCGGCCAGAGAUGCCCCUCCCCUACCUCCUCCCUCUAAGUCCAUACCAGACAAACCUGCGCCAGCUCCUUACUCUCAGGUCAAACCGAACACCAACGUUUCCAAUGGAACCAAGCUAGGCUUCCAGGAAGACCAACAAUCGUCUGGCGAUGAGGAUGAUGAUAUAUAUGACGAUGCUAUCUCAAAUCGAGAUCCCCUGCUUGGUGAACCUUGGUAUUUUAAAUCGUUAAAAGAUAGGAAAACAGGAGACAAAUUAUUACGAAAAGUUGGCAAAGAUGGAACAUUUUUGAUACGAGAGAGUACCAAACAAGGCCACAUACAACCCUACACGAUGAUGGUAUUAUUCCAGAAUAACAUCUAUAACUUAAAGAUAAGGGUGCGACCAGACGGUAAAAUGGCCCUAGGAGAGGAGAAGCCAGAUGAAAUGUCCUUUAUGGACGUCCAGAAGCUUGUUAAAUACCAUAGGGAAACGGAAGUUAUUCUUGUUGGUAAUACAGGACAACACAAAACAUUACUCAAGUGUUCUCCACCGCAGAAUGCUCUUUGAGCAUACACAGCACGUGAUUAACGCAACAGGUUGAGUUUUCAGAUUAAGAAGAGCAUUGAUUUUGUGUGAUUCUCAUAAUGCCUUCCAGAGGAUAUAAAUUAUCAUUUUACUUGAAAUGUUUUAAUGCCUUAAAAACUUAUCUGAAGCAUUUCAAAUGUUUAUUAUUUGCAAAUGCAUCUAUAUUAAUCGAACGAACAUCUUUCCUUGUUUCACUGUAUGCCACAUACACGCAGAACUGGUUUUGAUUUGUUUUUAUUUAUCAUUUGCAAUGUCUGUCGAUUAUAAUUUCCCAUAUACUAAAUAAGAACAAUAUGCAUGUUAUCCAUUUAAUUGAAUGGUUUGCCUAUAUAAAAUUUUAGAUCAAAUGUCACAAAUUUACAACAAAAUAUUUUUAUUUUUAAUGAUACAAAUCAAUGUGAUCACGCAUUUGAUCAAACAUUUGUCAUGUAUUCAAUAUACGUUAACAUUUCUGAUCGUUAAGGGUGCUAUUUGAAGGUUGGAGCUACGAAAAUGUUCCCAAGGUGACAUAUGUUCCAGGGGUCAUAGUUGUGUUACAACGAAAAAAAAGGAUUAUCCCCUCAUAAAUAUAGCUGAUUAUCAGUGUAUGAUAAUUUGUUAGGUCUUUAAAUUGCAUAUAUAUCUUGUGUGCGGGAAAAAAAUAAGAAAAAUUCUUUAGAAAAUGUUUGAUUCGCACCUUUUUUUUUAAUUUCCACAUAUCAUGAAAUAUUAACUAUAUACAUGUAGUGAUAACAAAAAAUUAACACUCUGAAACCGAUAUCAGAUGACUCUUGGAGUUUAAGCUUUAAAAAAGAGGCACAUUCACAUAGUUUAUAGAUGUAUGAUCGUUAUGUAACUGUAUACUUUAAUAGACAUAUAUGGACGACAACGGUCGUAACAUAUACAAGCGCACGUGUGAUAUUGCACCCAUUCCAUGGACACAAACAAUACAUUCCACUAGUAAAUAUCAAUAUUUUUAUCUUUCUUGUCAAGCCUAUAUUGGUAGUUAUUGAUGUAGUUAAUUUUGUAUUCAUAUUCUAAAGGCCUGAAAUUUCUUGAAAUGUAUUCAUUCGUAAUUAUUAUUAGAUAUGGAACCAUUAUUUACUUUAACGUCAAAAGCAUAGUGUGCUAUAUUUUUUGACAUAACAACUUGUUCUUUCGCUUUCAUUUUUUCCACUUUCUUGAAUUGCCAAGAUUUAUUUUAGUAGCUGAAUGUUUAUUUGUGAUCAAAUGAAUGUCUGUGUUUUUUUUAAAUAAUGCAUUUGUAGCAAUGAAAUAAAUUUGAUACAUCAAAAUGAUUUGUAUGUUAUAUAGAGAUAGAAAAAAUUUCUUACAUUUGUUUUGUAUACACAUUGUAAAUGAGCUCAUUAUUUUUCAGAAUCCUACGAAAUUGAACGUGAAAAUUGUUAGUAAAGUAUUCUUUACAAUAUCAGAUUUUCAAAUAAAAUUAUGAAAUACUU